GACUGAAAUGACAGAUUAAACAUAUAAAUGGAAAAUUCACUUUUAAGGGUGAAAACCCUGUAUUAUGAUACCCUCUGUACUUUAUUUUUACAGCUUCCCCCCCUAUAAACUAUAAGUUUUACUCACUGAGUUUGAUGUUUCCCUUCUUGGUGAGCAUCACGUUGGGGCUCUUGAUGUCCCUGUGAACGGCCCGGUGGUGGUGAACGUGGUGGAGAGCCUGGGGAGAUUGAGAUACAUAGCCAAUCCAGGUCUCCUUCAGGGAUUGGCCUUCGGUGCUGUCGAUCAGGUCGUACAGGGAGCCGCCGCUGCAGUACUCAAGGACAAGCUGCAAUAGGAAGGAAUGAUUUCAGGCCGUAUACUCUGAUGACUCCUCGUUUGGAGCAGGGUGGUGAUAAGCUCCAUAGUAAGAGGCGAUGUUCCUGUGCCUGCUGAACUUCAGGAGAAAGUUUACCUCUCGGCAGACUGACUCCUCAUCCUGGAGAGGAAAAAUAGAAACCCUUUAGCUCACAUAGGCAGCCACACAAUAGGCAUGAUAUGGAGAAAGGAACUAUAAAGAAACCUUACCCGAGUGAUGUUGGCCAUCUUGACGGCUACCUUACCUCUGCGAUGGUGAUGGCCCUGUAACACACACAGAAAGGUGUAACUGACAUUCAGUAUUAGCUGGAAAUAUAAAGACUCAUAUUGGGAACAAAAUGACAGAAAUAUUGAGUUAUUAAGAAAUGGAAAAUGUGCAUAGCAGGGAUAGUGAUAGCACUUUCAACUUGCUUUCAGCUCCCCCUGCUCUCUAGGAAUUUGGUUGGUCCCUUACCAUGAACACGGCUCCAGUGCCGCCCUCUCCGAUUUGCGUCUCCUUGGUCAGCCGACCAUCAGGAGGCUGGGAAAAAUAGAUAAAUAGAAUUAACAGGGGAUUUUAUUGAUAACAUAAUAUUCCACGAGGUAAAAAAUAUGUAUUAACUACAAUUUUGGGUAGACCGGAAGGAGACAUUUGGGAAGGAGGGGCAUGAGAAACACAUGAAAGACAGAGGCAAUUGGAAGGUGUGAGGUUCAUAAAACUGGGGGGGCAUCACCAAACCAACACCCAAAUUCUAUGCUCAAGUCUAGCAGCCCCUACAGGGGCUUUCUACUCACCUUAUAUAUUUCGGAGAGGCAUCCGGAUUCAGCCGGCCGCUGAGGGAAAAGUAAAAGAUUCUGUUACUUUAAAGGGACAUUAUUAGGCCCAACACUUGCUGAGUAACAAAAUGGCAAAAUGGAGGAAGGAAUGAAGGAACUGUCUGAUAAAGUGUCUGAUUCUGGGAUAAAUUGGCCCCAUA